CCCCCAUCCCCAUCACCUCUCUUUCGCUUCCACCACCACGAGCAACCUCCGUCGUCGGCUCAGCGCCCACCACCGCUCCAAUCGCACCACCACUGCCCCUGGCCUCUGACUCCGACAACAGUCGCCCUCAUUCUUCAGGGAAAGAGAGGUAUUGAAAAGCAGCCUUUUCAACUUCCUGAUUUCAUUGCUGCCACAGGAAUCGAGAAAAUCAGACAAGUUCUUCAUGAUGCCUUCUUCAAACAUCAGACUAAGCCGAAAUUGACAAAUCACGGUGAUUUGUAUUAUGAGGGGAAGGAAUUUGAGGUAUGGUGAUCAUCAAAGAUAUCUCUUCAGUUUGCUUUAUGUCAUUUGAUCUGCAAUUUUUUAUGGUAUCAUUUAUCUGAAUGAUAUUUGAUAGUGUUAAACUAAGUUUGUGUGAUUUUCUUUUUCCCUUUCUUAAAAAAUCUGUAAUAGCUAGCCUACUAGGGAAUCAGCUGUAUGGUUAUUGUUGUUUAAACGUUUUGGCAUG